AGAAUGAACGCUGGCGGCAUGCCUAACACAUGCAAGUCGAACGAAGGCUUCGGCCUUAGUGGCGCACGGGUGCGUAACGCGUGGGAAUCUACCCUUGGGUUCGGAAUAACAGUUAGAAAUGACUGCUAAUACCGGAUGAUGACGAAAGUCCAAAGAUUUAUCGCCCAGGGAUGAGCCCGCGUAGGAUUAGCUAGUUGGUGUGGUAAAGGCGCACCAAGGCGACGAUCCUUAGCUGGUCUGAGAGGAUGAUCAGCCACACUGGGACUGAGACACGGCCCAGACUCCGUACGGGAGGCAGCAGUGGGGAAUA
rnacentral:rRNA from 1 species